rnacentral:rRNA from 1 species
UUUAAUGAGAGUUUGAUCCUGGCUCAGGACGAACGCUGGCGGCGUGCCUAAUACAUGCAAGUAGAACGCUGAGGUUUGGUGUUUACACUAGACUGAUGAGUUGCGAACGGGUGAGUAACGCGUAGGUAACCUGCCUCAUAGCGGGGGAUAACUAUUGGAAACGAUAGCUAAUACCGCAUAAGAGUAAUUAACACAUGUUAGUUAUUUAAAAGGAGCAAUUGCUUCACUGUGAGAUGGACCUGCGUUGUAUUAGCUAGUUGGUGAGGUAAAGGCUCACCAAG